AGUCUGACGGAGCAACGCCGCGUGAGCGAUGAAGGCCUUCGGGUCGUAAAGCUCUGUUGUUAGGGAAGAACAAGUAUCGGAGUAACUGCCGGUACCUUGACGGUACCUAACCAGAAAGCCACGGCUAACUACGUGCCAGCAGCCGCGGUAAUACGUAGGUGGCAAGCGUUGUCCGGAAUUAUUGGGCGUAAAGCGCGCGCAGGCGGUCCUUUAAGUYUGAUGUGAAAGCCCACGGCUCAACCGUGGAGGGUCAUUGGAAACUGGGGGACUUGAGUGCAGAAGAGGAAAGCGGAAUUCCACGUGUAGCGGUGAAAUGCGUAGAGAUGUGGAGGAACACCAGUGGCGAAGGCGGCUUUCUGGUCUGUAACUGACGCUGAGGCGCGAAAGCGUGGGGAGCAAACAGGAUUAGAUACCCUGGUAGUCCACGCCGUAAACGAUGAGUGCUAAGUGUUAGAGGGUUUCCGCCCUUUAGUGCUGCAGCUAACGCAUUAAGCACUCCG
rnacentral:rRNA from 1 species